rnacentral:rRNA from 1 species
AACACGACUCUCGGCAACGGAUAUCUCGGCUCUCGCAUCGAUGAAGAACGUAGCGAAAUGCGAUACCUGGUGUGAAUUGCAGAAUCCCGCGAACCAUCGAGUCUUUGAACGCAAGUUGCGCCCGAGGCCAUCCGGCCAAGGGCACGCCUGCCUGGGCGUCACGC